rnacentral:pre_miRNA from 1 species
UUAACUCAAAUUUGUAUGGACUUGGAACGUUUGCCGCUAGGGGCGCUGUUCCUACUGCAUACAAAUUUGAGUUA